GACGAACGCUGGCGGCGUGCUUAACACAUGCAAGUCGAACGGAGCGAAUGAAAGCUUGCUUUUAUGAGCUUAGUGGCAAACGGGUGAGUAACACGUAGACAACCUGCCGAUCAGAUGGGGACAACAUUCCGAAAGGAAUGCUAAUACCGAAUGGCGUGUAGGGGAGGCAUCUUCCCUACAUGAAAGAUGGCCUCUAUAUAUAAGCUAUCACUGAUCGAUGGGUCUGCGUCUGAUUAGCUAGUAGGUAAGGUAACGGCUUACCUAGGCGACGAUCAGUAGCCGGUCUGAGAGGAUGAACGGCCACAUUGGGACUGAGACACGGCCCAGACUCCUACGGGAGGCAGCAGUGGGGAAUCUUCCGCAAUGGGCGCAAGCCUGACGGAGCAACGCCGCGUGAGUGAAGAAGGUCUUCGGAUCGUAAAGCUCUGUUGAAGGGGACGAACGAUCGAGGGGCGAACAGGCUCUCGGUAUGACGGACCUUUGAGGAGCCACGCA
rnacentral:rRNA from 1 species